rnacentral:rRNA from 1 species
CAAUAGCGUAUAUUAAAGUUGUUGCAGUUAAAAAGCUCGUAGUUGGAUUUGUGGCUGUCACGGGCGGCCUAUCACUUAGUGUUAGUGCUUGCCUGUGUCGCCAUCCUUGGGUGGAGCCCGUGUGGCAUUAGGUUGUCGUGCGGGGGAUGCCCAUCGUUUACUGUGAGAAAAUUAGAGUUUUCAAAGCAGGCUUAUGCCGUUGAAUAUGUUAGCAUGGAAUAAUAAGAUAGGACCUCGGUACUAUUUUGUUGGUUUGCGCACCGAGGUAAUGAUUAAUAGGGACAGUUGGGGGUAUUCGUAUUUCAUUGUCAGAGGUGAAAUUCUUGGAUUUCUGAAAGACGAACUACUGCGAAAGCAUUUACCAAGGAUGUUUUCAUUAA